rnacentral:rRNA from 1 species
CCUACGGGGGGCAGCAGUGGGGGAUAUUGCACAAUGGGGGAAACCCUGAUGCAGCGACGCCGCGUGGGUGAAGAAGCGCCUCGGCGCGUAAAGCCCUGUCAGCAGGGAAGAAAAUGACGGUACCUGAAGAAGAAGCCCCGGCUAACUACGUGCCAGGAGCCGAGGUAAUUCGUAGGGGGCAAGCGUUAUCCGGAUUUACUGGGUGUAAAGGGGGCGCAGACGGCGAUGCAAGCCAGGAGUGAAAGCCCGGGGCCCAACCCCGGGACUGCUGUUGGAACUGCGUGGCUAGAGUGCAGGAGGGGCAGGCGGAAUGCCUGGUGUAGCGGUGAAAUGCGUAGAUAUCAGGAGGAACACCGGUGGCGAAGGCGGCCUGCUGGACUGCAACUGACGUUGAGGCCCGAAAGCGUGGGGAGCAAACAGGAUUAGAUACCCGAGUAGUC